ensembl:lncRNA
UUUCAGAGUUUGACAUUUAACACAGGUCCUCACAUGCUGUUUCACCGCUGACCACAUGCCUGGCCAAAAUGCUACUUCCUGAAGUCGCUUAUAGGUCUUGUAGAUUCCUCCAUGGCCACAGAUGGGAGUGGAGUGAUAGUACUGGAGAAGGGUGGAUCUGAGACUGCUGGGAAUGUAGAUUCUGUAAUGCAGUUGGUUAUUUGUCAGGACAACAUCUGAUACAGGCAGUGCUGGGUCUUUUCCGCUGGUGUACAAGUUACAUCCUGGGGACCCAACGAAUGAGGCGGCUGGUGGUUUUCGUGGAGUUCAUGACCCAUUGCAGUGCAGCAUGUAUAAUUUAGUUCGGCCCCAGUUAAGGUUCGGCUUGCAUAGGCUAUAACCUCCUCUCUGCCUACCUCCCUCCGUUGUGCUAAUAUGGCACCCAGGCCGAUGUCGCUGGCAUCGGUGUAAACAAUGAAUGGCCGCUGAAGAUCGGGAUGGCCCAGAAUGGGAGUGUGUUGAGGGGUUCAGUAAUCUUGGAAAAAUUUGGAACGAAACGGUGAUACCACCCGGCUAACCCGAGGAACCGUUGAACUUCCUUCACGUUCGUAGGCACAGGAUAGGUAUGAAUGGCUUCAGUUUUACAUGGGUCUGCUGAAAUGCCUUUGACACUUACAACAUGUCCUAGGAAGUUCUCCCAGAACUGUCUCCAUAAGCCUCUGAAAAGUUGCGGGAGCAUUUUUGAGACCAAACGGCAUAACAUUAAAUUGAUAGAGACCUGCAGGAGUGAUGAAGGCUGUCUUGGUUUUGCUGUUGGGAUCCAUGGUCACCUGCCAAUAUCCACUGUUUAGAUCAAUAGUAGAGAAGAUGGCUGCCCCAGAGAGGGAUUCCAGAAUUUCUGUGAUGUUGGGAAGAGGACCACCGGUGAUGCCCAAGCAGAGUGGGAUGGUUCAACUAUUCCUUGCCUCAACAUCUCAUCAAGUUGCUCCUCCAGGGCAAAUUGCUUGAGGGGAGACAAACGGUAUGGCCGUUGUUUAAUGGGGACUUGGCUGGUGGCAUAAAUGCUGUGUUGGAGAACCUCAGUACGUCCAGUACGGAGAGUACACACCUGAGGGCUUUCGUUCAGGAUUUGGAGUAAAUGUAGCUUUUCAUCAAAGGGGGUACUCUUUUGAAGGAUCCAGCUUGAAGGAGUAUUUUUGAUCAAUGACAUUGAGUUGCAGCCCACUGAAGAAAAUAAAGUCCAACCCCAAGACUACAGCAUAAGCUAGAGCUUGGGAUGAAAGUACAGCAGUAGAUAAAGAGGACCACGGCACCACGGUUGCAGCUGGUCGGGGGAUGUUAGCUGCCUCAUGAGAUUCUCAUGGAUGAGUGUGUAGCUUGCACCAGUGUCCACAAUGGCUUUACCUGACCAGGCAUCGAUACAAAGGGGAACAACUAUUUGUUGAGCAACAGAGUUGUUGGACGGAUGACCACCUGACUUGGGGUGAUAAGGUUGUUUGCCGCUAGUGGAAUACUGUGGACCAGACGUCUGAGGUGACUGGGGAGAGUUGAUGUCCUAAUUUUACCAGCUCUUCCACAGUAUUUACUCGGCUACGCAAUUGGCUGGCAAGUACGGACACGUUCAGCCAGUUCGUCCUCAUAAUCCUCAGAAAGGAAAGCAGAUAUGAAUGCAGUCUCAAACUCAAUCCAAGUGGUUAUGGUGGACCGUCUGACUUCCCACCAGUCUCGUGCUGUUCCGUACAAGACAGUACGGAAGGUAGCCAGGAUGUCUGCAUCUGUCAGGGGAUGUACAGCCAAAAAAUCCUGACAUUUGG